rnacentral:lncRNA from 1 species
GUUAUUAGAGAUUGUAUACAUACAGUUUUAUUGUUACAUGAGAACAGUUUUUCUGCAGAUAACGAUGACUCGGAUUGCAGCGGGUCACAGUCAGGGUCACGGCACCGGCACCGAUUGCUGCGACAUGGUCUUACCUUAUCAGAGGCUGAAGCAAAAAGUCAAAAGCAAGAGGUGAAGAAACCUAAGAAAAGAGAAGUCCAAGAUUUAGAAUGUGUUGUUGUGAGUAGUGAUGAAACGAGCGAAACGAGUGUAUCGAGCGGCGUGUAUGAUGAACUCAGCCAUUCAGAGUGUGAGGAAAUAGGGUCCCAGUCGCCCACUCGUAAUGAGAAGUUUCAGAGUCCGUCACGCACACCUGACAGGAGCAGCACUGCUGAUAAUGAUGUCUCUCCAACCACUGAGGAGCAUUUGAGGGGCACCCCGCGAGGGAGGAGGCAGAUCAGACCACUUCUGGAGGUGGGUCAGCUGGCCCAGGAGACACAGAGCGCUCUGAAAGAAGAGGAGGAGCGCAGGAGGAGAUUGGCAGAGAGAGAAAAACUGAGACUAGAAAAUGAGAGGAGAGAGCGAGAAGAUGCAGACCCAGAGGUGAUGAACUGCAUGGUGCCAUGUUCUGUUCUGUUUUGUAAAUAUUAAAGAGGUAGUUUACCAAGAAAUAAAAAUGUUGUUAUUUACUUUUCCUC